UUGCGUGCCUCCUUGUCAGCUUUCAGCAGCGUGAUUCUUGGAAGCUCGCCAGAUUGAAUCCCGAUGAAUCCUCAUGGUGAAUUGUAUGAUUAUCCGUCGAUGUUUGCCUUCAACCCUCCUUCCCAGUCGAUGUGCCGAGUCAACAAGGUCCUCCAUCUUCUCUGACCACUGUGGAGUGAUUUUGGACAGUAUCCUGAUGAUUCUCUCUCUGGUGUCUCGUGGACGCGGAGAUUCCAGCGCCUUUUGUACCGCUCAGUUUCAGAUAUUCGCUCCUUGAGAUUUUUGUUUUCAGCUGUGACAGCAGACAUUUGCUUUUCCAGGGCUUUCACCUUAUCUUUACAGUCUUUAAGUUCUUUAAGGUUGAAAUCCAAACUUUUCGCAAGUUUUCCACCAUGACAGUUAGACUUUUUACAGCUUCGAGAACGGCUGCAUUUCUCACAUCUUUCUCUGUAGUGGGGUCGAGAGAAGUAGAGCUCUCCUCACCUUUUCUCCUUCUUGUGUUGGGCGCAGGGACCCUUGUUGGCGUUUGGAGGCUGCGUUUCUUGCUUGAGACGCUAGCGUCUGCGUUUCCAGUGCCAGUUUGGCGGUUGUUGCCAUUUUCAAGUAGUCUGGAGCAUAUACUGACGUCCGUGCGUUUGUAGAUGGAUCACGUUUACUUUUAGUUUAGAUUUUUCAGGGAUGACCAUUUAUCUUCCAAUUUUAGGGACUGUGCAAACAGAGCUGAGCAAAGUCACGUCUGCUCAGGUCGCCAUCUUGCCCGGUUCCCCUGUUUUGAAGUCUAAAGUGACGGUCUAACCAGAGCAGAGGUAACACGGUCAAAUGUCAAGCUCUGGUUGUGGUUUAUAGAAAGCGAAUAAUAGUUUUCUGAGCGCGUGGUCUGCAUUCACCCGCUAACAUGUCCGCCGUGAUUCCUCGCAUCGAGCAGCUUUCCUCCAGAGUGGUCCGUGUUCUGGGCUGUAAUCCCGGACCUAUCCUGCCAAACGACGUUAGGGGAGUGAAGAGCAGCCAAAACGCGACCCGCCAAACCAAAACAUUUCUCUGUGGAUGGGGUAACGUAUGUUAGCUAAGCUAGCUAGUUAGCCGUCAGUCCAGUGACCGUGAAGGUGAAAUCUCGCGAGAGGAUUUGGGCGGGAACAGCUUAUGGGCUCUGGUCACCGCUGAGGUUUCGACACCGGUAAGAAUAAUUCGCGUUUAGGUUUGAUGUCGUUUAAGUUUUGUGCUUUUAAACAUGUCAUUUCUAGACGGUGGCUCCCUAAAACAGCCCUCUCCUUCAAAUUCAGUACAAAACCCAGUAAAGUCACAUUAGCAGAGAGGAGCUAGCCCUCAAACCAAAACGUUCAUCGUAGCGGUGCUGGGGGCGAUUAAAAUGUCUUUACAUUAACUUUCACUGACAGCAAAGAAAGUUCUGCCCUCUCCUGUAAAGUUACCCUUUUGUAGAUACUUAUUUUUGAUAUAGAUAUCUAGAGGCCCUCGCCUUCAGGUUCAGUGGGAAACCUGCCAAAGCAACGUCAGCAGAGGGAGGAGCAGCCAUGGAAUCAAAAGGAGGAUGGGGAUGAGGUGGACUGGGUUUAUCCAACACGACUUUUGGAGCUGGUGCUGUGCUGCAUUAAUACAGCUGUUAGCUGCCAGCUGAUCUGUUGUAAAAACAUAUCAGUCAUUAAAAUGAAUAUGUUGAUCUUGUAUGUACUGUGUGUGUUUAGAGGAGUGCAUUUUUCAUUGAAGUGUAGCGUCAGUUUUUUUCUUUUGCUCUUUGCUUCAGAUUGACAGGCAAACUCAGUCAGUGCAUUUCUUCUGGAGUCAGCACUUUCACUGGGCUCAAGUUAUUGUGUGAAUGGUGUAAGUGUGGUAGAAUGUUGCUGUGAAUGUGGCGUUGUAAGGCCUGCCCAUCAGUUUCACCAAGGUGAUGUUGAUGUGCAUCAUAAAAGGACUCUGCAUGUACCUCAGUGAGGACCCUAAGGAUCUGGUGCAGGAGUACAUGGACAUCACUGAGGCCAACACACUAAGUGCCAUAGAGAGAACAGUGGUGGGGAUCUAUGUUGUCAGAGAGACUCCCAGCAGUAACUCUUCUGAUGUGGGAGUGAUCCUCGAGGGUGUGGUGGUGCUUCGCGACCUGGAGAAUGUGGCCCUUGCAGCUGCCAUGCUGUUUGGAGUUUUUUACAUCUUAAAUAUGAGGUACCCGUCGAAGCUGCACUACACCCUGGAAGUUAUUCAAAAGAUAAUAGUGGAGUUGGAUGCAGCCGAUCUAUCAAGAAAGGCCCAAAGCUUGAAAACUAAAGUCCACCAGUAAGGAGGGCCGUGUUGUUUUGGCUUCAGCCGUCCUGUAAAGAAGGGCAGUUCUACAUUCGUGGACUGAGCAAUGUGGCUGGUUUUACAGACGUUUGUUUUAAGUUCUAAGUGUGUGUGAAGUUCUAAGUCUGUUUGAUUGUUGAUUUGUGUUUGCUGUUUUAAUUGUAAUUACUGUGCAGUUCUCUACACAUUUGAUAUCACUGUUUUAUUGAUCAUAUUGAUCAUAUAUGAUAUGUGAAUAAUAAUGACUGUUGCCGUCUGCAGAGCUUUGCGUUUUAUUUUUUCUAGUUGAAAACUUUUGACUGACAGUUUAAGUAGCUACGUUUAG